rfam:Acidobacteria bacterium RIFCSPLOWO2_12_FTLL_67_14b rifcsplowo2_12_scaffold_17258, whole genome shotgun sequence.
CCCGGUGGCCAUAGGAGCAGGGUCACACCCGUUCCCAUUCCGAACACGGAAGUUAAGCCUGCUACCGCCGAUGGUACUGCCCGCGUAGGUGGGUGGGAGAGUAGGUCGUUGCCGGGG